GCCAGCAGCCAUAUCACCCUGCAACUCACAACUGGUAAUCCACUGAAGCUCAGCAGGUAUGAGCCUGGUCUGUACCUGGAUGCAAGAGUUCCUGGGAAAAACUAAGCUUGCUGCUGGAA
rnacentral:rRNA from 1 species